AUUGAACGCUGGCGGCAGGCCUAACACAUGCAAGUCGAACGAGGGGCGGACGGGUGAGUAAUGUAUGGGAAACUGCCCGAUGGAGGGGGAUAACUACUGGAAACGGUAGCUAAACCGCAUACCAGCGGAUGUGCCCAGGUGGGAUUGGCCAGUAGGGGGGGUAACGGCUCACCGAGGCGACGAUCCCUAGCUGGUCUGAUAGGAUGACCAGCCCCACUGGGACUGAGACACGGCCCAGACUCCUACGGGAGGCAGCAGUGGGGAAUAUUGCACAAUGGGCGCAAGCCUGAUGCAGCCAUGCCGCGUGUAUGAAGAAGGCCUUCGGGUUGUAAAGUACUUUCAGCCGGGAGGCGUUACUCGCAGAAGAAGCACCGGCUAACUCCGUGCCAGCAGCCGCGGUAAUAC
rnacentral:rRNA from 1 species